rnacentral:rRNA from 1 species
AGGACGAACGCUGGCGGCGUGCUUAACACAUGCAAGUCGAACGAGGUCCAUCCUUCGGGAGAAGACCUAGUGGCGAACGGGUGCGUAACACGUGAGGAACUUGUCCCGGUCUCUGGGAUAACAGUUGGAAACGACUGCUAAUACCAGAUGACGUCGGAGCGUCGCAUGGCGCGCUGACGAAAGGGUUACCGGAUCGGGAGAGCCUCGCGGCCUAUCAGCUUGUUGGUGGGUAACGGCCUACCAAGGCAUCGACGGGUA